CCUACGGGAGGCAGCAGUGAGGAAUAUUGGACAAUGGGCGCGAGCCUGAAGCAGCCAAGCAGCGUGAAGGAUGAAUGCCCUACGGGUUGUAAACUUCUUUUAUAAAGGAAUAAAGUGAGGUACGUGUGCAUUUUGGUAUGUACUUUCUGAAUAAGGAUCGGGUAACACCGUGCCAGCAGCCGCGGUAAUACGGAGAUUCCGAGCGUUAGCCGGAUUUAGUGGGUUUAAAGGGAGCGUAGAUGGGUUGUUACGUCAGUUGUGAAAGUUUGCGGCUCAACCGUAAAAUUGCAAUUGAGACUGGCAGUCUUGAGUACAGUAGAGGUAGGCAGAAUUCGUGGUGUAGCGGUGAAAUGCUUAGAUAUCACGAGGAACUCCGAUUGCGAAGGCAGCUUACUAAACUGCCACUGACAUUGAUGCUCGAAAGUGUGGGUAUCAAACAGGAUUAGAUACCCGUGUAGUC
rnacentral:rRNA from 1 species